rnacentral:ncRNA from 1 species
GCGUACUACUCCACAGCCAUAGGCGCUCCCUCUGAAAAAAAGGAGGAAAUGGCCCUUGCUCGGGCUGCGGCAGUGUGGAGACCUGUCGUAAUGCGGCUAUUGCCGCGAGGGCGCCUCUUGCGGAGGCAGGGCGCUUAGAGCAAAAAAUAAAUGGCA